GAUGAACGCUGGCGGCGUGCCUAAUACAUGCAAGUCGAGCGAACAGAUAAGGAGCUUGCUCCUUUGACGUUAGCGGCGGACGGGUGAGUAACACGUGGAUAACCUACCUAUAAGACUAGGAUAACUUCGGGAAACCGGAGCUAAUACCGGAUAACAUAUUGAACCGCAUGGUUCAAUAGUGAAAGGCGGCUUUGCUGUCACUUAUAGAUGGAUCCGCGCCGUAUUAGCUAGUUGGUAAGGUAACGGCUUACCAAGGCAACGAUACGUAGCCGACCUGAGAGGGUGAUCGGCCACACUGGAACUGAGACACGGUCCAGACUCCUACGGGAGGCAGCAGUAGGGAAUAUUCCGCAAUGGGCGAAAGCCUGACGGAGCAACGCCGCGUGAGUGAUGAAGGUCUUCGGAUCGUAAAACUCUGUUAUCAGGGAAGAACAAAUGUGUAAGUAACUGUGCACAUCUUGACGGUACCUGAUCAGAAAGCCACGGCUAACUACGUG
rnacentral:rRNA from 1 species